rfam:Pseudonocardia sp. AL041005-10, complete genome.
CUUCACCGAGCCCAGCAGCAGCGGCCGCUCGGUGUCCCGGUCCCGCCCGUAGGUCGCGAUCAACGCCUGCGCCUC